rnacentral:lncRNA from 1 species
GGAGGGUCCGUGUGCUCGUUUUAGAGAUAUAAGCCAUUUAAAAUUUGGCGGGAAAUUAUUCUCUCUAGAUUUUCCAUAUAUUUAACAUUGGCACCUUAUUUGUUUCUAACACUAUGAAAAAAUAACAAGAAUUUUAUAAAAUUUUGAAAUAUGGCUUUUUAAACUUUAUGUAAUAAAAUUAUAAAAAGAAAAGUAGGGUUUAGUGGGCCAAUUUUUUAAUAAACAUGGAUAAAACCAGAGGUUCCGAAAAUCUGGCAAAAAGUCAAAAAAUGGAGGAG